UACAGAGGUCUCAAGCGUUGUUCGGAUUCAUUGGGCGUAAAGGGUGCGUAGGUGGCGCCGUAAGUCAGGUGUGAAAUUUCGGAGCUUAACUCCGAAACUGCAUUUGAUACUGCGGUGCUUGAGGACUGGAGAGGAGACUGGAAUUCACGGUGUAGCAGUGAAAUGCGUAGAUAUUCGCAAGAACACCAGUGGCGAAGGCGGCUCACUGGCCCGAUACUGACGCUGAGGCGCGAAAGCCAGGGGAGCGAACGGG
rnacentral:rRNA from 1 species